rnacentral:rRNA from 1 species
CGGGACAUCGUGGGUGAGCGGGGGGUAGAUACUGGGGGGGGAAGCGUGAUUGUGUGUAGCGGGGGUUAAAGGUUGCGGAGGCGGGGCUGUGAGUCGGGGGGGAAAGCUCCGAGCUUGAGGCGGAAACGGCCGUGGGUACUGCGUAUCUUGAAUGUUGUGGAGGUGAGCGGAAUAUGUCAUGUAGCGGUGAAAUGCUUAGAUAUGACAUAGAACACCAAUUGCGAAGGCAGCUCACUACACAAAUAUUGACGCUGAUGCACGAAAGCGUGGGGAUCAAACAGGAUUAGAUACCCUAGUAGUC